UUAGUUUUGGUUUGUGUUCCUGCACAAAACAUCAUGACCAAGAAGCAAGCUGGGGAGGAAAGGGUUGAUUCAUCUUAGGCUUCUACAUUGCAUUCAUCACCAAAGGAAGUCAGGACUGGAACUCACAUAGGGCAAGAACUUGGAGGCAGGAGAUGGAGGGGUGCUGCUUACUGGCUUGCUUCCCCUGGCUUGCUCAGCCUGCUUUCUUUUAAUUUUUAAAAAUUUUUUUAAAAGAAGAUUUAUUUAUUUAUUGUAUAUGAGUAUGUAUAUGUAGCUGUACAGAUGGUUGGGAGACAUCAUGUGGUUGCUGGGAAUUGAACCUCUGCUCGCUCUGGUCCAAAGAUUUAUCAAUUAUAUCUGGAUCUCAUGGAGGCAUUUCCUCACCUGAAGCUCCUUUCUCUGUGAUAACUCCAGCUGUGUCAAGCUGACACACAAAACCAGCCAGUUCACUGCUGAAGAACGGUAACGAAUCAAUUACACAUAAGUCAAGGAGGCCAGGCUUCAUCCCAAGAGGCAGCCAAACCUGGCAGCGUUGUCCACGUGGUUCUGGCUCUAGAGUCGUGAAAUACAGGAGUAAAGGAGCUGUGGAAUCUCUACCGGAGGUUAAGAAGAGCCACCAAAGCCAGGUGUGUAGCAGACGAAUCCCCGCACGGAGGCCCCGGGAAGCCUUUGAGUGAGGCUUUGAGAGUGAAGCCUGUAGGCUUUGGAGACCCUAAGAUGUUAGACCUAUCAGAGCUGUGGAUAGAGCUGCAUACAGGCUUUACUAGCCCGAGAUGGAGAUCUGUCUUGCAGGCAGCAGGCUGGAAGGGGGCAGCCCUCUAAGCCCUUGGACGUCACACAGGACUUGGAGUUAGCUCCUGUGCUGUGGUCUUGCUUUGGUCCACAAAGCCUCUGCUUUCUUCACUAUGCCCCAGUUCCUCCCUUUGGAGUAGUAAUGUAUAUUCUGUGCCGUUGUAAGUUGGAAGCAAGUAGCUCACCUUUGGAAUAUCUGGGGGUUGCGAUUAAGAGAUGGCCUUGGGAUUCAGAAGAGACUUGGGCUUUUAAACAGUUAAGACUGUAAGAGACUGUGUGGACACUUUUGAAGUUGGACUAAAUGCAUUUUGCAUUAUGAGAUGUGCCUAGCCUAUGGGGGCCAGGAAGUGGAAUGUGGUGGUUUGGAUGAGAGUGGCUCCCUUUGACCCAACCUCUGAGGGUCAGCAAGCUGCAGUGGCUAUGGCCUUUAUAGGGCAGUCAGCAUCAGAUAUUAAGAAAAAGUUACAGCGGCUAGAAGGGUUGCAGGAUUAUACCUUGCAGGAUGUGGUUAAGGAGGCAGAGAAAGUGUUUCAUAAGCGGAAGACUGAGGGAGAGAAGUG
rnacentral:lncRNA from 1 species